rnacentral:rRNA from 1 species
UUUUCCUACGGGGGGCAGCAGUGGGGAAUAUUGCACAAUGGGGGAAACCCUGAUGCAGCAACGCCGCGUGAAGGAAGACGGUUUUCGGAUUGUAAACUUCUGUUCUUAGUGAAGAAUAAUGACGGUAGCUAAGGAGCAAGCCACGUCUAACUCCGUGCCAGCAGCCGCGGUAAUACGUAGGUGGCAAGCGUUGUCCGGAAUUACUGGGUGUAAAGGGAGCGCAGGCGGGAA